rnacentral:lncRNA from 1 species
GAUAAUUGUGCUUGGGUUUUGAAGAUAAUCGUGUUAGAUCAACCAGGAAUUUUGCUGGCAUAAUUUUGCAUACCUACUUUCUUCAACUGAUUUGGGGAAGUUGUGAGGAAUGAAAUUACAGCCUAGCUGAAAAAGAAAGAGCCAAGGCAGGAGCAAUUUUUCUGCUUUUUUGAGAAAAAAAAAAAAAAGACAAACCGGCGGCAUCGCAAUUUUUUUUUUUACUGGUAUCAAAUUCGAUUCUGAAUAAUGUGAUUAAUGAUUCUCUGAUUGGUUAUUUGUUGAUUGAAUUUGGUAUUAACAGGAAAUGUUUUUAAGCUGGAUACAGCUAUGA